GUAGUAACGCUUAAGUUCCCCGCCUGGGGAGUACGGCCGCAAGGCUAAAACUCAAAGGAAUUGACGGGGGCCCGCACAAGCGGCGGAGCAUGGGAUUAAUUCGAUGCAACGCGAAGAACCUUACCAAGGCUUGACAUACACGAGAACGCACUGGAGACAGUGAACUCUUUGGACACUCGUCAACAGGUGGUGCAUGGUUGUCGUCAGCUGGUGUCGUGAGAUGUUGGGAUAAGUCCCGCAACGAGCACAACCCUCGUCUUAUGUCGCCAGCACGUAAUGGUGGGAACUCAUGGGAUACCGCCGGGGUCAACUCGGAGGAAGGUGGGGAUGAGGUCAAAUCAUCCUCCCCCUUAUCUCGUGGGCUUCCCGCAUGCUACAAUGGCCGGUACAAAGGGCUGCAAUACCGUAAGGUGGAGCGAAUCCCAAAAAGCCGGUCUCAGUUGGGAUUGAGGUGUGCAACUCGACCUCAAGAAGUCGGAGUCGAUUGUAAUCGCAGAUCAGCAACGUCGCGGUGAAUACGUUCCCGGGCCUUGUACACACCGCCCGUCAAGUCAUGAAAGUCGGUAACACCCGAAGCCGGUGGCCUAAACCUUUGUGGAGGGAGCCGUCGA
rnacentral:rRNA from 1 species